rnacentral:tRNA from 1 species
GGCAGUGUUGUCCAGUGGGUAGAGCACUGGACUGCAAAUCAAGUGGUCUGGAUUCUACUCUUGACUCUGCCA